rnacentral:rRNA from 1 species
GACGAACGCUGGCGGCGUGCUUAACACAUGCAAGUCGAACGGAAAGGCCCUGCUUUUGUGGGGUGCUCGAGUGGCGAACGGGUGAGUAACACGUGAGUAACCUGCCCUUGACUUUGGGAUAACUUCAGGAAACUGGGGCUAAUACCGGAUAGGAGCUCCUGCUGCAUGGUGGGGGUUGGAAAGUUUCGGCGGUUGGGGAUGGACUCGCGGCUUAUCAGCUUGUUGGUGGGGUAGUGGCUUACCAAGGCUUUGACGGGUAGCCGGCCUGAGAGGGUGACCGGCAACAUUGGGACUGAGAUACGGCCCAGACUCAUACGGGAGGCAGCAGUGGGGAAUAUUGCACAAUGGGCGGAAGCCUGAUGCAGCAACGCCGCGUGCGGGAUGACGGCCUUCGGGUUGUAAACCGCUUUCGCCUGUGACGAAGCGUGAGUGACGGUAAUGGGUAAAGAAGCACCGGCUGACUACGU